AUUGAACGCUGGCGGCAUGCUUUACACAUGCAAGUCGAACGGUAACAGGCCGCAAGGUGCUGACGAGUGGCGAAUGGGUGAGUAACGCAUCGGAACGUGCCCAGUCGUGGGGGAUAACGCAGCGAAAGCCGCGCUAAUACCGCAUACGUUCUCUGGAUGAAAGCGGGGGACCGAAAGGCCCCUCGCGAUUGGAGCGGCCUAUGUCAGAGUAGGUAGUUGGUGGGGUAAAGUCUCACCAAGCCAACGAUCUGUAGCUGGUCUGAGAGGACGACCAGCCACACUGGGACUGAGACACGGCCCAGACUCCUACGGGAGGCAGCAGUGGGGAAUUUUGGACAAUGGGCGCAAGCCUGAUCCAGCAAUGCCGCGUGCAGGAAGAAGGCCUUCGGGUUGUAAACUGCUUUUGUACGGAACGAAACGGUCCUGGUUAAUACCUGGGGCUAAUGACGGUACCGUAAGAAUAAGCACCGGCUAACUACGUGCCAGCCGCCGCGGUAA
rnacentral:rRNA from 1 species